CCAAUAGCGUAUAUUAAAGUUGUUGCAGUUAAAAAGCUCGUAGUUGAAUUUCGGGACCAAUAUGUCGGUCGUGCUUCGGUACGUACUUGCAUUAUUGGUUUCUCCCUUCUGAAGAACCAUGAUGUCAUUAAUUUGGUGUCUUGGGGAAUCAGGACUGUUACUUUGAAAAAAUUGGAGUGUUUAAAGCAGGCUCACGCUUGAAUACAUUAGCAUGGAAUAAUGAAAUAGGACGUUUGAUUCUAUUUUGUUGGUUUCUAGGAUCGACGUAAUGAUUAAUAGGGAUAGUUGGGGGCAUUAGUAUUCAAUUGUCAGAGGUGAAAUUCUUGGAUUUAUUGAAGACUAACUACUGCGAAAGCAUUUGCCAAGGAUGUUUUCAUUAAUCAAGAACGAAAGUUAGGGGAUCGAAGACGAUCAGAUACCGUCGUAGUCUUAACCAUAAACUAUGCCGACUAGGGAUCGGAUGAUGUUAUUUUUGAUGACUCAUUCGGCGCCUUACG
rnacentral:rRNA from 1 species